UACGUAGGAGGCAAGCGUUGUCCGGAAUUACUGGGUGUAAAGCGCGUGUAGGCGGCAGGCCAAGUCUGUGGUGAAAUCCCUCGGCUUAACCGAGGAACUGCCCUCCAAACUGCUUUGCUUGAGGCCGGGAGAGGUGAGUGGAAUUCCCAGUGUAGCGGUGAAAUGCGUAGAUAUUGGGAGGAACACCAGUGGCGAAGGCGGCUCACUGGACCGGUUCUGACGCUGAUGCGCGAAAGCGUGGGGAGCAAACGGG
rnacentral:rRNA from 1 species